rfam:Canis lupus familiaris chromosome 3, whole genome shotgun sequence.
GCCUGGGUGGCUCAAUGGUUGAGCAUCUGCCUUUGAUUCAGAAUGUGAUCCCAGGUC